AGUCAUGGAAACCAAACUGUCUGCGGACUUAUAUAUUAGUGUUGGUGAUUAAUGUGCUUUCUCAUCUUCCCUCACACAGAUUGAACCCCGUCAGAAGGGAACAAACAGUGUAAGGACAGGAGCCAGCAUGUACAAGAACUCCUCCAGGCUCUGCUCUGCUGGUCUAUUGGAGACAUUACAACAAGUAACAGGGCUUUGGUUUGACACACUGUGAAUCUCUCGUACUGCAAAGUCUUCAGGACAAACACUCGAGGAAAAGGCCAAGUGAUCGAUAAUCUGGCUGAGAGUCUGGUGGUUUAUGGGGGAAAGACUGAAGACAGGUGGGGCACCUGGCAUUUAGGUCACCUAAAGUCAAGUUUAGCCAUUUGUGGGUUCAAAACAGAUGUAAAUGAGCUUUUAAGCUCUGGUUCGAGAAACAGCAUUCUCUGGAGCUACCUCAUUUAUCCCCCAUCAUCCCCGUUAAGCUGGAGCUUCAGACAGCAGUGAGUUUGCAGAGAGGGGGGUAAUUUUGGACAGUGACCCAGAUUCCCCAGUCUUCUGUCCAUAAUGCCCCGGUUUGUGGCCUGAAAUGUGCUUGUGUUGGGGAACUCACGCCUGUCACCGUCUCGGCUCCUGUCAGGAAUCUGUCUGACUAAGAGGCCGGUGGUCUGCAGAGGCAUGAUAGGCAAUAAUAACUCUUCGC